AAUCAAUUUGAUUUUUGAGGUACUAAUUAAUUUUGUUGGUUUAGUGUGCUCAAUUUCACUGGCAGUUCUGCUUGCCAUGUAAUCGAUUGCCAUAAGUAAUACACCAGAGUUCAUCUUUUGUGGAACAAGGAUGAGAUACUUGCCAAGAAAAGUUCCUUUCCAAACAAAGAAUCAGCAGAAGUCACAUUUUUCCUCUUCUGGAUCAUUAAACAUGAUGGUUGCGCGUUGACAUCCCAGAGAGUUGCGCUUUUGAACCAGGUUUCUCCGAACAACUUUUCUUGCAAUCCUAUGCUCAUGAAGAUGUUCCAAUUCUU
rnacentral:lncRNA from 1 species